GAUUGUCAGGCUGGCUCUGCAGUGAGACCCAAAGCCUCCGACCAUGGGGACCACAGGCCCCUCUGAGGACCUGCCAGGACGGCCAGGCUGGGCAGCGGCACUCCACGACACAGGCUGGGGUGGGGACCCGGAGGCGGCAGGGCCGACCCUCAGCUCUGGUGAGGCUCAGACCAGGACCCGGCGGACAAGGAAUGUGAUGCAAGGGAUGGUGUGGGCGUGAGGAAGGCUGGCACUUCUCACUGUGCCUCUGGGAACCUGGGCCACGACACUCAGAGGCCAGCUCCCUGCAAAAAGACCGGGCGGCCCCAGCUGUUCCUGCCAUCCUGGCUGAGGGUUGGACAGGCAAGUGUAGGACGAGCUUGAAUUUCCUGCCACUGCCGACCACAGCCAUGGAACUAACCCCAGGUAUGACCUACAGAAGAACCACCCAACUGAACCCAACCCAAAUAACAGAAUCGCAAGCAAAUACACAGUUGUUUGAA
rnacentral:lncRNA from 10 species